CUUCGGUGGCGCAGUCGGCAGCGCGUCAGUCUCAUAAUCUGAAGGUCGAGAGUUCGAGCCUCUCCCGGAGCAUGA
rnacentral:tRNA from 1 species